UUCUCGGUAUUUAUGGUUAAAAAAAUCAUUAUUUUUAUCAAAUCUAAAGAAUAUAAAUUGUUAAAUAUCCGGCAAAGAUUAAAAAUAUUAACUUUUGACAAAUUUGAAAGAUCAAAAUUGUUCAGUGCACACUUAAGGAACUAUAUUAAGAUUACCCUCAAGGCUCAAACAUAAGAAAUCAUUUUUGUCAUUUUGUCGGGACGAAUCAAUUAAGGUGAAGAAAAUAAUCAAUAAAAGAAAAAAAGUCAAAAAGAAUCUAUAUAUUUAUUAUCUAUAUCUAUCUCUAUAUAAUAGGAGAGGCAAAAGAGUCAUCACCACAAAAAUUAGAAUUUAAAAAUAUAUAAAAAAAAAAAAAAAAAAAAACUGCAACAAUUAAAAAAAAGCUGAAACGUCUGUAUAUUCACAUCCCGAAACUUUACGGCAAGACAAUUCAUCAUUGCAGCAACAAGAUGAAAUUCAAGGCGCUAUUUACACUGCAAUUGGUCUUUCAAUUCAUCUACAGAUUCAUGGUUUGCUAAAUCAUUUGGGGUUCGAUCAUGACACUAGAGAUGAAGUUGAGGCUGAAAUGGAGAAAGAAGAAGAGCUCCUUCUAUUACGUCUUGGGUGGAAGUGAAAAGAACUAAUUUAGAGUAACUGUACAUUGGUAAUGUGCUAAAAGUAACUGUUAUGUACUCAAUUGCUUUGUUUGAAAAUUUAGCUACUGGAAACUCUCUAGCUGAAGAUAAUGGGUUUUGGCUCACUGGUCCCUUACCCGUCCUCUUAGUGUUCAACACUAAGUGUUCUUUCUACUCUUCUAAUUAAUAUAACUUCUAUUCUCUUCUCUUAUGAUGUUUAUAACUCAAGCCUUUACGCUUAUAAUGAGAGGUCAAGAAUCUGAGAAGGGAAAAAAUCUGGGAGUAUUAGGUGAGUUAGUGUCAAUCUUAUAUCUGCCUAUGUUUUCAUAUAUAUAUUUCAAGUUUUCAGUCAUUUGUUGGGCGCAAUUUACGAACAUAUGACUAACAAUAGAGGUGACUUGCAUUGUCUGGGUGUAUUUCAGGUGCUUAAUAUCUCAUACCCGUCACCAUUGCAACCAUUACAAUCCUUCCGCCUUUCAGAUUCUUUAUCUAUUAAAAUGGUCAUUGAGGUUUGCUUUCCACGUUCCAGAAACAUCUCCAUCACUGCACAUAUAACUCCUUUCCAUUAAGUUAUAUGCUCAUCUGUAGAUCUCUUAAUAACUUUACCUUAGUCUUUAGAUGCUCCCUCUUCUUUGUAGAGAGAAGAUGUGAUAUUGGCAAAAAGAAAUAAAUAUUCAACAGAAGAUGUUGCCUUUUGUUGCUUCA